UAGCCGUAAACGAUACUCGCUAGGUGUCGGCCACGGUGCGACCGUUGUCGGUGCCGUAGGGAAGCCGUGAAGCGAGCCACCUGGGAAGUACGGCCGCAAGGCUGAAACUUAAAGGAAUUGGCGGGGGAGGCACCACAACGGGUGGAGCCUGCGGUUUAAUUUGGACUCAACGCCGGGAAGCUCACCGGAUAAGACAGCGGAAUGAUUGCCGGGCUGAAGACCCUGCAUGACCAGCUGAGAGGUGGUGCAUGGCGUAGUCGUGU
rnacentral:rRNA from 1 species